CCUACGGGAGGCAGCAGUGGGGAAUAUUGCACAAUGGGGGAAACCCUGAUGCAGCGACGCCGCGUGAGUGAAGAAGUUAUUCGUUAUGUAAAGCUCUAUCAGCAGGGAAGAAAAUGACGGUACCUGAGUACGAAGCCGCGGCUCACUACGUGCCAGCAGCCGCAGUAACACGUAGGGGGCAAGCGUUAUCCGGAUUUACUGGGUGUAAAGGGAGCGUAGACGGCAGUGCAAGUCUGGAGUGAAAGGCGGGGGCUCAACCCCCGGACUGCUGUGGAAACUGUACGGCUGGAGUGCAGGAGAGGUAAGUGGAAUUCCUAGUGUAGCGGUGAAAUGCGUAGAUAUUGGGAAGAACACCAGUGGCGAAGGCGGCUUACUGGACUGUAACUGACGUUGAGGCUCGAAAGCGUGGGGAGCAAACAGGAUUAGAUACCCGGGUAGUC
rnacentral:rRNA from 1 species